AACGAACGCUGGCGGCAGGCUUAACACAUGCAAGUCGAGCGCCCCGCAAGGGGAGCGGCAGACGGGUGAGUAACGCGUGGGAAUCUACCGAGCCCUACGGAAUAGUCUCGGGAAACUGGAAUUAAUACCGUAUACGCCCUUCGGGGGAAAGAUUUAUCGGGGUUUGAUGAGCCCGCGUUGGAUUAGCUAGUUGGUGGGGUAAAGGCCUACCAAGGCGACGAUCCAUAGCUGGUCUGAGAGGACGAUAAGCCACAUUGGGACUGAGACACGGCCCAAACUCAUACGGGAGGCAGCAGUGGGGAAUAUUGGACAAUGGGCGCAAGCCUGAUCCAGCCAUGCCGCGUGAGUGAUGAAGGCCCUAGGGUUGUAAAGCUCUUUCACCGGUGAAGAUAAUGACGGUAACCGGAGAAGAAGCCCCGGCUAACUUCGUGCCAGCAGCCGCCGUAA
rnacentral:rRNA from 1 species